rnacentral:rRNA from 1 species
UGUCGGCGUGCUUAACACAUGCAAGUCGAACGGAAAGGCCCUGCUUUUGUGGGGUGCUCGAGUGGCGAACGGGUGAGUAACACGUGAGUAACCUGCCCUUGACUUUGGGAUAACUUCAGGAAACUGGGGCUAAUACCGGAUAGGAGCUCCUGCUGCAUGGUGGGGGUUGGAAAGUUUCGGCGGUUGGGGAUGGACUCGCGGCUUAUCAGCUUGUUGGUGGGGUAGUGGCUUACCAAGGCUUUGACGGGUAGCCGGCCUGAGAGGGUGACCGGCCACAUUGGGACUGAGAUACGGCCCAGACUCCUACGGGAGGCAGCAGUGGGGAAUAUUGCACAAUGGGCGGAAGCCUGAUGCAGCAACGCCGCGUGCGGGAUGACGGCCUUCGGGUUGUAAACCGCUUUCGCCUGUGACGAAGCGUGAGUGACGGUAAUGGGUAAAGAAGCACCGGCUAACUACGUGCCAGCAGCCGCGGUGAUACGUAGGGUGCGAGCGUUGUCCGGAUUUAUUGGGCGUAAAGGGCUCGUAGGUGGUUGAUCGCGUCGGAAGUGUAAUCUUGGGGCUUAACCCUGAGCGUGCUUUCGAUACGGGUUGACUUGAGGAAGGUAGGGGAGAAUGGAAUUCCUGGUGGAGCGGUGGAAUGCGCAGAUAUCAGGAGGAACACCAGUGGCGAAGGCGGUUCUCUGGGCCUUUCCUGACGCUGAGGAGCGAAAGCGUGGGGAGCGAACAGGCUUAGAUACCCUGGUAGUCCACGCUGUAAACGGUGGGUACUAGGUGUGGGGUCCAUUCCACGGGUUCCGUGCCGUAGCUAACGCUUUAAGUACCCCGCCUGGGGAGUACGGCCGCAAGGCUAAAACUCAAAGGAAUUGACGGGGCCCCGCACAAGCGGCGGAGCAUGCGGAUUAAUUCGAUGCAACGCGUAGAACCUUACCUGGGUUUGACAUGGAUCGGGAGUGCUCAGAGAUGGGUGUGCCUCUUUUGGGGUCGGUUCACAGGUGGUGCAUGGCUGUCGUCAGCUCGUGUCGUGAGAUGUUGGGUUAAGUCCCGCAACGAGCGCAACCCUUGUUCACUGUUGCCAGCACGUUAUGGUGGGGACUCAGUGGAGACCGCCGGGGUCAACUCGGAGGAAGGUGGGGAUGACGUCAAGUCAUCAUGCCCCUUAUGUCCAGGGCUUCACGCAUGCUACAAUGGCUGGUACAGAGAGUGGCGAGCCUGUGAGGGUGAGCGAAUCUCGGAAAGCCGGUCUCAGUUCGGAUUGGGGUCUGCAACUCGACCUCAUGAAGUCGGAGUCGCUAGUAAUCGCAGAUCAGCAACGCUGCGGUGAAUACGUUCCCGGGGCUUGUACACACCGCCCGUCAAGUCAUGAAAGUUGGUAACACCCGAAGCCGGUGGCCUAACCGUUGUGGGGGAGCCGUCGAAGGUGGGACUGGUGAU